rnacentral:rRNA from 1 species
AUUGAACGCUGGCGGCAUGCUUUACACAUGCAAGUCGAACGGUAACAGGCCGCAAGGUGCUGACGAGUGGCGAACGGGUGAGUAAUGCAUCGGAACGUGCCCAGUCGUGGGGGAUAACGCAGCGAAAGCUGCGCUAAUACCGCAUACGAUCUAUGGAUGAAAGCGGGGGACCGUAAGGCCUCGCGCGAUUGGAGCGGCCGAUGUCAGAUUAGGUAGUUGGUGAGGUAAAGGCUCACCAAGCCGACGAUCUGUAGCUGGUCUGAGAGGACGACCAGCCACACUGGGACUGAGACACGGCCCAGACUCCUACGGGAGGCAGCAGUGGGGAAUUUUGGACAAUGGGCGCAAGCCUGAUCCAGCCAUGCCGCGUGCAGGAUGAAGGCCUUCGGGUUGUAAACUGCUUUUGUACGGAACGAAAAGGUUUCUUUUAAUACAGGGAACUGAUGACGGUACCGUAAGAAUAAGCACCGGCUAACUACGUGCCAGCCGCCGCUGUAACAC